UUUUUUUUUUUUUUUUUUGCAAAAUGUAGUUAUCAAGAUUCGAACUCAAGACCUUUGUAAUAAAAGACCAAUGUAGUAACCGUUGCACUAUCACAUCUUAUUAAUUUUUUUUGAUAACUUAUUUAUAUAAAACAAAUACUCAUAUUUCUUUUGUUCCAUUUUUUUUACAAAAUAUCAUCCUUUCAUGACUCUUUCUUUUUAAUCUUCAACACACACACACACAUACACACACUCUCUCUCUAUCAUCUUUUCUUUUGCCACUCAUUUUUUAAUCAAACCUCUUUAUUUUUAAUUUAUUGAUGUUUUCUUCCAUAUUUUAAUUUUGUUUUUGUCCAUUAAAUUUAAAAAAGUUAAAAAAGAAUUAUUUUUCUUUAACCCAAUUUAUUUAAUACCACAACCACUCACUUUUAUCUAAUUUUUUGUUUCUUAUCAAAUUUGCAUUUCUAUUUUCAAUUCUCUUGAUUUUCUUCGAACUCCAAAUUUCCUUUUUUAAAUUGUAAAUUUAAAUUCCAAAAUGUAAAUUAAAAUUUAAGUUCACAAUGUCUAAAUUCUCAUAGACGUGAAUUUUGUAUAAUUUCAAAUAUUGUGAUAUUUUUGGAUUAUAUUUAAGAUUUUUUUGGUAGAUAUAAUUGAAAUUGAGAUGAAAUUUAUUUGUUUUAACUUAUAAUUUAAAAAAUUUAUUUUUAAAAAUCCAAGUUAUUCAAAAAUAGUAAACUUUUCAUCAUAUAAAGUAUUAAAUUAUCCAUUACAUGUCUUAUUUUGUGCACAUAUAUAUUUAUAUAAAUUAUUUUUUAAAAAAUUCAUUGAACCGAGGUUGAACCGGUCCGACCGGUUGAAUCUCGACCCUUUCACUUCACCGGUUCGAUUAACGGUCCGGUUUUUAAAACAUUGGUAAUUAGAGCUAGAUGACAGAUUUGAAGGCAUUAUGGAUCUUCUGAGGUUUGAUUACAGAUUUGAUUUUUUUUUUUAUAGACUAUCCUUUAUUAUUAUUAUUAUUAAGAAGGAAGACUCCACACCUCAUGCGGAAGUGAGAGUUGAACCAAAAAUCUUAUGAUCACCUACCUAAGAUCCAUAUUAAUAAGUUAAAUCUUGGGACCUUCUCAAUUUCUUCAUUCAAUCCAAAUUAUGAUUUCGAUAGAAUUAUAGCUUUUUCUUGAAUAAAAUAUAUUGUCUUACUAGCUUAGAUUUUUCCAUGAUUUGAAACUUGAAGCUAAACAAAAUUCUCUCAAGUGCUUAAGAAAUAAGACGGGUUAUACCGGAACCAAAAAUUUCAAAAAGUCAACCGGAUAAAAUCUUUAAAAAUUUGUUUUACUUUAAAAUUCAAUAACUAAUACAUUUCAUUCAUUUAAUUUUCUUUCCUCUUCAAAUUAUUAUACAUUUUCAAGAUCUUUAAAAAAGUUGGGUUAUAUCUGAACCAAAAAUUUCAAAAAAUCAACUGGAUAAAAUCUUUAAAAAUUAGUUUUACUUUAAACUUCAAUAACUAAUACAUUCAUUUCAUUUAAUUUUCUUUCCUCUUUAAAUUAUUAUACAUUUUCAAGAUCUUUAAAGUGUUUGGGACGCGUAAUUGGAUUUUCCGGUGCCUGAAUAUUUGCCAUCUUUGAAAAGGCGAAGCAUAAUUUUCAUUCUUUUUAUUUCUAUUCCUUGUUUUUGAAAAAAAAAAAAAAAAUCCUAGCAGGAGAAGGAUGGGAUUUAAGAAGUGAAGAGGGGAAGGGGAAUUAGAAUUGAGUACUCCUAAUGUUUCAACUUUAACCAUUAGUCCCUUGUUUAUUUUACAUCAUCUUACUCUAAUUUUUCAGAAUUUGAAUUGUGAAAGUUAAAAAGGAAGUUCUUUCGACAACAACUAACUCCACACUAGCAAUCAUUCCGAGAAACAACUCUUUGGGUCUAAGGAAAUAUUUACUUAAAGUUAGAGGGCUAAAAGUCGAUCAGUCUAAUAAUUUUAGUGCCAAACAGAUUUUUUUUUUUUUUUGCCCAUUUUGCAAUUUAAUAAAUGGGAAACAUUACCUUAUGAAGAGUGAAGUGUCCUUUUAUAAGUUUAAGGAGCAAAAAUAUGCACUUAAUAGUUGGAAAGAUUCGAGGGACAUCCAGAUUUUUUGCCUAUUUUUCAAUUUAACAAAUGGGAAACAUCGUUGUCACAUUGUCAAGUUUUCUCACAAGGUCAUUGAUUGUGUUCUCUUUGUUGCAAGAUGUUCCACAAUACCGUUACUUGCUGUUAAUGAUCUUUUUUUUUUAAAAAUCAAAUACUAGAGCUAGGUUACAACAAAUUUGAAGAAAAUUUUCAUGAUUAAGUAGACUAUAUGAAAAUAGGAUCAAUCUAAUAGUACAUACACUAUCGGGUUUGAAUGCGUGGUACAUGUGCAGAAUUUGGAUUAAAAAUCAUAUUGACAUUAGUUGUCAUGCAUCCAAAUUAAAUAGUAUAUAGACGACCAUUUGGAUUAACCUAAUGGUUAGGAGAUGACUCUUAGAGCUCUCCCACUAUUAGAUUCAAGGGAUCCAAAUUGAAUAGUAUAUAGACGACCAUUUGGAUUAACCUAAUGGUUAGGAGAGGACUCUCAGAGCUUCUCUCACUGUUAGAUUCAGGGUUUAAAUCCUAGAUUUUGCAAUUAAGGGUGAGAAGGGUUGUAUGGAUCGGUGGGAGGUUUAAAAAAAAAAAAAAAAAAGCCUAGUAGUUGAGGCUGGGAAGGAUUGUAGGGACGAUUUUUAAGGAAAGGGUUGAGUUUGGGAAGGGACCGAAAAACAUGUCCAAAGCUUGCUGCCAUUGGUGCGUGCCCACUAAAAUUGGUGCCACCAUGCAGUAUUCAGCAAAGCUAAAACGGUGCUAAACACAACGGAACAGGUGUUUUUUGAGUUUAUGUAGGCAUACUAAACUCUUGAAUCUGCCCAGCACCUGACCCCCUCAAGUUACCACAUUGCUAGUGGAAUAACUAUAUUGGCCCAAUUUCAGGAGCUGUUGAGUUUUUAUAGACAUAUUAUUGUACCUAUGUUAAGAUCAUGAAGAAAAGGACAACCUAAAACUUAAUUUGAUAGCCACUCUUUUAUGAAAUUUUCAAAAAGAUUGCCAUACAAUUCAACUCUGCAAAAUGCAUGUCAAAAUGAAGUUUUUUCAACUUAAAUGUAAUUUAUACAACAAAACAUGCAAAGGGACAAGUACAAUUGAAUACGGAAUCCCAAAAAACUCAUGAGUUUUGCUGUGCUUUUAUACGUUAAACAAUUGUCAACGAAUAUACAGAAACUGAUAUAUAAAUGUUGCCUGACAAAAAUGUGUACAAACUGCAGAAUAAGAGAAGGGUUUCCCACUGUACAGAUUUACGCGAAUUUGUGAGAACAUACAUCACAAAACAGGAGUAACAGCUUGAACUGAAGAUGGUUGCAAGCAGCGGAUUCUGAUGUCAUACUUUCUUUGGCUAGAGCUUUCACUGUUGGAGGAAAAAUCCGAUUCGUUUGUUACAAGAGCAGCAUUAUCUUCAUAAGCAUCUCCAAUGUGAUUACCACAGUUACGGCACAGCAGUUUCAUUUUCCGGUGGAGCAAACCCCAUGAGUGCUUGAAGAUAAAAUUGGGUACACACUUUAACACUUCAACUUGAGUAAAUCUGGAUUCAUCGAUGUAGAAGAAGGAUAUUAUCCCUUUCUUUAUGGAUUUAUCAUACUUUGAUCCGAUUUUGGAGGUAUUGCGGCUGGAAGAGCUCAAGUUCAGCUCAUAGCCACAAGAGCCACAGCUGCACAACAAACAAUCUUGUAAGUGCAAUGUUUGAAGACCAUCAGAUAGGACAUGGAAUACUUUCAAGAAAAGGAAAGAAAGGACAAAAUAAAAAAGCAUGCUAACAAAUUCCAGCUGCAUUUAAAACAGAAUCUUCGAUUCUAUAAAAGAGACCACCACACUUACAAACCUCAGCACUUUCAGGACUAUAUGUACGUGUAUACAACAUUGGCUACAAAAAUUUCAGGAAAACACAGUAAAUUCCAUUAGGGAGAGUACCAAGAGAAACAGAAAAAAUGGAAAAAUUGGUUCAAAUAAGACACAUUUACAAGGUUUCCAUAUGUUAAAAUAGAUUUAUUUUGAAGCUUCCAAAAAGUGCACCACCAUGUCUUGCUUCAGACAGAAAUCACCAUUGGGCUUCAUGAUGUUCUUCUCUUAGAAAAUGACAUAAUCAGACAUUCCAAAAUGCUAAGUUUCUAACCCCAUGCUCAAAAAGCCAACAUCAAGCAUAAAGGCUGGGUCCUACAGAUAUUCUUACAACUGACAGUUCUUACAUUUGACAAGUCCACAUGCACUCUGGUAGCUGCAGAUCAAAGGAGGAUUUUCCCCAUCCAUAUGAUCAACGUACCUGACAUGGCUCUCCCCACGAAAUAAGAUAUUCAUUUUUAGACCUUUCAAAACCCAAAGUUGCAUAGUUGCCUGCUAACCUACCUCAUCAUCUUAUUACUCUACUGAUCAAAUAAACAAGUUCUCGCCACAAUCUACACAGCACUUCUCUAAGUGCUUAAUAGCAUGUCCACAGCCUUGAAUAAGUUCUCUCUUUCCUCACUACAAGACACACUCCAACCUAAAUCCCAGCUAAGAUACCCCUCUGACUGACCAGCAUAACCCCAAGUAAAACAAGUUCAAAUGUCUGUUGUGAAUUGACAGCAAGAUUAUCCAAACACUCAUAGACAGAUGUUUGACACUUUUUUAACCGUGAAAGACAUGUAGGAAGUAGGAUGUCUUUCAAAUUUGUGUGGAUUUCUUUCAAAGAUAUAAUUUGAUUUGAAAGUCAAAUUAAAGUUCCUCUAACAAAAAAUCAUAUCAAGAAGUUGAAAAAAGUAGCUUGGUACAAAAUACAUCAUCUAAAAUGAAAAGACAUGAAAAAUUGAAGCAAUAGCAGGAACUAUCUCAUACACAAAUAUUCAACCUCUAUCCAAGUUUUUUUACUUUGACUAGAUGAUUAUUUCAAAGGUCAACAAUAAGAAAAAGGAAGAAAAAAUUGUAGGACACUAUCAGGCAUUCCAAUUCAAAGUUAUUUUUUGUUUCAGACAUUCAUUGAAGCAUUAUCAGACAUUGAGAAGGGAAAGAAAGAUACAAUAGCUUUACAGCUAUACAUGUGGUAUUAAUUGUGUAAUUGGAGCUUGCAAGAGAUAAAAUCAAUUUUCAAGGCAGAAAUAAAGCAUCAAGAAAGAAAUAUCAUAGUGGAAAGAACCAGGUAUUGGUGCAACUGUAUCAAAGCUGAGUUCUUUGAUAAGAAUUUUAUUACAAGCAUGAGAAGUUCAUCAAUUUAAUAAGAUUUCUAACAUAGUAAAAGCAAUAGAAAAGUUAAAACACAAUCUGCAGUUUCACUCUUCAAGAGAAAAGAUAAUGAAAAUGUGGAAUCGAAUCAAAAUUCCUCAAACAAAUCUAGAAGAACUGUGAUAUUGGUAAAAGAGAGAAUUGACAAAAUUGGUAACAAGUUAUUGAAUCUAACAUUCAUUUAUUCGAUCCCUAUACUCCUAAAAUCUCCCUGUGAAAAACAUUUACCACCUUUGCAAAUAUAACAGUCUUCAUUAAGUUCAAUUAAGGCCGCAUUCCUCAUUGAAGGGUAUAUAUUUGACAUGUGAAAGAUGUGUCUAGACCUAAAGAAAAAAUAAAAAAUGAGAAGAUCCAUCCAGAGUUUACAUCUCAGAAAGAAAUAAAAUUGCACAAUCUUCACGGAACCGAAAGUCUUUAGAUUCAUAAGCAAAGUGUGCCACAAAGUCCAAGCCUUAGAGAGUAAUUGGUCAAUGGACUACUUCAAGCUAGGUUAGCUUUCCUUGUUGCUAGAGCAAUUUGUCUACUUCAAGCUUUAUUAAGAGUAUAGUUCCUUGUGACUAACUCUAGAAAUCAAAUGCUUAGAGUAAAGAACUUUGAAUUAGGUGGUCAAUCUCAUGUAAACUAGAUAUUACUUCACAUUUACGCAAUACCAACUAGCGGCCGUAUACAUUGUACACCUACAUAAAAGGUUAUCUAACUCAUCAAUUAAAGAGGACUAUUUUGCAGAAAGAACAGUCAGUUUCCAUGUUUGGUAUAAUACCAAUCUCCAAAGAGUGAGGCGUGCAUCCAAGUAAACCCAGGGUGUGAUUAAUAUGAACCCACUGUUCUGUUACCAUAUACCACAUUACUCUCUUUGACUCGAAAUUUCAACCCAACAUCCAAAACUACAGAAUUGAAGAAGAAGCAUUGCAUAAAAUAUAGGCUAUAUAACCAUGUAAUACACAAUUAAUGAGUCAAAUUUAUUCAUGCAACACUGAAAUAAGACCCAAGAGCAAUAGAGCAAUUUACCAAGGAAGGAGCACCACUCAAAUAAAACAUGUAGGAAAACACAACUCACCCCUCAGAAAUAUAAGACCAACAAAUUCAAAUGCUAAGGGCAUUAUCAAAAUCAGUUGCAAUGUGUAAAGGUAACUUAGCAUUGAUGGCAUAGUUUCCAUUACAAAACUUGGAUAUUGAAGAACUUUUUUCCAUUUCAAGACCUAGGGAAUUACUCCAGUCGUCCAUUUCAGGGCAUCUAACACAUUCAGUCUAAUUGUACAUAGGAAAGACCUUUAAAACAUCAAUACUGCACUAAUGCAUAGCCUAAUCGAACUUGCACAAUCAAAAGUAUUACUACAGUUACCACAAGUCACUUGUUUUUGUUUAUUUCAUUAUAAUUGUAACCAGAAGAUAAAAUCAGACACUCAUUAAUGUGCUACCACAAAGAGUAAAGUUAAUUUAGUAGUUUUAUUGAUUCUUAUCUGUUAUUGUUAUCUUGCUUCUCUAGUUCAGAAUCUAAGUGGGUAAACUGUUGGUUUCUAAUGAUGAAGGGUUAAAAAACAAAGAAUAGCAUCAGUAUAGCCACAUCAAUUUGGCCUUUUAUGAAUGAAAAAGGAACUUCAAAAGUUGGAGAACCUUAUCCUUCAAGAAUCAAUUUCAGAAGAGAAAAAUACGCAAUUAGGAGGCUAAGAUGGAGAUCUGCCCUCAACAACUCCAAAAGCAUUGUGGCUAUCUAACUACAGCACACCAACCACAUUGCUCACAAAGCUUUUGACGGGGUUAAUGUUCACAGCUUGUGUACAUUUCCUGUUAAUGGGCAGUGCACACUAAUCUAAUUUGGUUUUGUAGAAAUUUCUACCUGUUUGUGCUCAAGAUUUUGACAAAAAGUGUUUAUUUUAUGCCCAUACAUAUAAAAAGAUAAACUUCCAAAUAACUCCACCUUUAUGAGUACAAUAUCACCAAACUAGCGACACCUCAAGCCUACUAGAAAGGUCUUACAAAAUUGCUGUUGUCAAUAGCAUUGACAGCAGAAUAGCGACGUCUCAAUAUCACCAAAACAGCAUUGUCAAUAACUGUACAAUAUCACCAAAAUAGCGACGUCUCAAGCCUACUAGAAAGGUCUUCAAAAUUGCUGCUGUCAAUAGCGUUGAGUGACACCUCAUCUCAUACUAAUUGAAUAAUUACUUAAAUCAUGAGCAAUUAUUUGAACAGGUUGAGAAUUAAAAGGCUUCCAGGCCUAGCACCAAGUAAAACACAUUAUGAGUUUUUAAAACUCCAGUCUUCCUGUAAAUGAAGUUAAAAACAUCAGUCUGCUUAUAAAUGAGGUUUCUGGAGGAAAUUAGUAAUGCUUAAUAAGAUCUUGUUAGCUGACCCUAUGAGGUUUUCCAUGAAAUCUCCACUCUUGCUGGGCAUUUGAGAAGUACUUCUAUGAGAUUGCUACAACGAGAAAAAUUGAAAUCAUAAAUUUAGGCCUCCAACAUUGUCAAGGCUUUCCCAGCAUAACUCUUGCACAUGGUUUAAUUAAUCCUGUGAACAACUAAGGGAAAGACAUCAACGUUUGGCUCCAGGGUGCCAGAAAUUACAUGCUGCUCUGGAAUUAGAUCUGCCAUUUGAUAUAAUCCCAAAGCAUGCUUACAGUUAUUAUAGUACGUCAACUAAUUCAAGUAGGACGGACCUGAAGUCUUAAGAGCUACAACAAAAUUACACCCUUCAACGUGUAGGUCUGUAGCUAAAACCAUUGUAAGACACCAAAUGUUCUUCAGAGGUAGGGAAGAAGCUGAGAUCUAAACAGGAAUAACAGAUAAACAAUCUUCCACAUUUACUUACAGCCAUUGCAUUGCAUUAAAUAUUUCCUCAACAAGUGGCUGCUGAGUGUUGACCCAAGCAACUAAGAGCACGAUAAACACCUAUCUUCUACACAGGCUGAAAACCAUCCACUUAUGGUAAACUUUGACAACUAUAAUAAUUUAUUUAAAAUGUUGUGCAAGGAACUUGGAAACUCAGGCAUUUAGUUUUAAUAGGGUUAAAAGUCAAAAGUGGUCAAAAGAAUAUAGUAUGAUUGGUAGUUCAGCCAAUUCUGCACUCCAUGCUCUUAGAUUAUAAUGGAAGGCCUGGUAAAACAUACAGGAAACUGCAAUAAUUGUUCCAAUCUAACGUUCCUGCUUGGCAGCACUGGCUUGCUUACAGUGAUCUUGCAAAGUCAGACUGUCUAUGGAGCUAAGCAAAUAUAUGCUAGUACAUUUCCUAGCCACUGGAACUAGAGGAGCAGCUUGGAAAAAAUGCAAGGGAUUCCAUUAAUGCUGCUGCAGUGAAGCGUGGGAAUACUUUGCACGAAUAUACAUCUAGACAUGGGGCGUUCAAAAGAAGAAAUUUCACAAUAACAGCAAGCAUAACAGUAUCUUCCUACUUCUUUAGAAUCUCCAUGGGCAGACAAGCUUGUACCUGAUACUUGAACCAUUAAGGCUCCAUCACCACCUGAUUCAUUGAAAAACUAUUGUAGGACUCCUUAAAGAUACAGUGAAAUGAACUCUACAGAAUUAGAAGAUCUUGAGCCAAAAUUGGAAAAUAUUCAGGGUAGAUACCUACACCUACAUCUUCCAAAAUCAUUUUCAUCCCUUGGGUGUUGUUAAACAACAUCAAAGGAAGAAUGAACUCAGGAAUAUGUUAAAGUUUCAGAAUUUUACAAGGACCAAACUUCAAGAAUAUUCCAUUCUCUGGCCAAGAUAGCCUUUCAUCACAAACACAGGAGAGUAAAAGGAGAACAUAUAACAUGGAGGAUGAGCAUAAAUUACGGGAACUCGCUGGCAUUUCACAAAAGUAUCAACUAGAAUGUAAAAUGAGAAUAGUACUUCUAAAAGUAAUAACUAAAAAUACUUCAAAUCAACUAAAAGCCAAGGACGGCAAUAGACUAACACAUUAUAUAGAAACUAAUUGAGGAAGAACCAUUAUUGAUGAUGUAAAAGAAUGUCACAGUUUUGAAAUCACCAACUAAAAGUUUUUAGAACAAUUCUUGAAAGUGCGUUUAGUAAGUAAAUCAAUCAAAUCCAUUUCCAAUUAUUUGUCCAAUCAAUGCCGAAUCUUCAAAUAGCCCGUGUCUGCAUCUGAUAAACAAUGCAUUCAAUGACAAGCAACAACCUUUUGUCAGAUGACUCAGAAAACUGUGUCUCGAACAUUUUCAAAAUUAAAUGAUCACAUCACAGGAAAAUAGAUACUUAUCCAGACGAUUUAGGCAACUUAAUCAAGCCCAACCAGUGAUAAAUUUGCUUCCAAGAAUAGCUAGAAGUGCUUAUUGGACUGUAAAAAGAACAACAAAAAUAUAAAAAUAAAAACUGCAGGAACAAAAGGCUGUCAAAUUAAAAUAAAAGAAAAAGCAAUUUGCAUCAAUUCACAACUCAUUAAACAGCUGAAACAACCUAAAAAACAAUGCACCUACAACUGAAACAAGAACUCCAACUUCAAUACCAUAUAAUCAACUCCUACAAUUGACUGGUACAAAACAAAAUAAAAGAAAAAGAUUAAAUCUUCUGAAAAGAGAAAAGGGUAUGAACCUGCAAGUGACAUCUCUCAUGGAAGAGCCAAAGGAGGGUGAUUGGUGAUAGUUUAGGUACCUCUUUGUGGUCUCCAUAAAAGAACUUCUGUCCCUCUUGUUUUAUUUCUCGUUUCUUGUUUCAGUUGAUCAGAGGCUGACUCAGCUGAAGAAUUGAUAGUUACAGUGGAUUAUAUGUGAUUUUUAUUGAAAAAAGAUUUGGAGAAAGCGGAUUGCAGUACUCAUGUAAGGAGGAGUUGGAUAUGAACUGAAAAGGAAUAGCAGUUGGCGUUGUGGGGUCCUGAGGUCAAAUUGACUACAUCAUGUUUUGGGCUUUGAAUGCUCUUUCCACCGUUUAGAAGGGGAUGUGGGACGUGGGGAGCGGGGCAAAAGGGAUUGAUAGCUUAUUAUUAAUUCUUGAGUUGAAUUACUGUAGUUAAAGUUGGAUUGAGUUGAAUUACUGUAGUUAAAAUUGGAUUGAAUUAACUUGUUGGGCGAUAUAUUCGAAGAGACUUGAGUUGAGUUAUAUGUGGUUUGUAUAGUUAAAGUUUGAUUGAAUUAACUAGUUGAGCGACGUACUCAAGAAGACUUCAAUUUAAUAAUUAAAAUUUAGAUUUUAAGGAUUAAAAGUUCUCAAUUCUAAUUUGAGAGAGGCUUUUCACACCCCUCCAUACUAAUUUACAUCUCAUGUACUCAUUAGAUAGGCCCUCGCCCAUUAGAUUUAUUUGAUGCUUCUUGUAGUUUCAAGAAACAUAUAUUGAUAAAACAAAAAAGUGCGAUAAAAUGUUUACAUUGUACAAAAGAAUAUAUUGAAAUAUUUUACAAACACUUAAGAAUAUUAAUUUUUAAUUUAAAAUCUAAUUUAGUAUUCCAAAUUUUUCAAUUACGAACAAGCAUGUAAAUAACAAUAUAUAUAUAUAUAUAUAAUUUUCAAUUCCAUAAAAUUAAAAUCUCUGCAGUUUUGAAGGUCGAACAUGCAAUCAUAACAACUUCUUCAUACUAAUAUCUACAAUUUGAUUAUGCAUAAUUUAGUAACAAAAACAAUUCAAGAAAAUAAAGGUAGUAAAAUCAUAAAAGGAAAGAAAAAAUAGCAAAAACAACUUCAAAAAAACAUAAAUUUUGGAAUGAAAAAUCACAAGUAAAGAAAUUUCUCCAUAGAACUAAUUAAACAUUAGGGUAAAUAAUUUUUUUUUCUUUAGAAAGUAUAUUAUUGCCCUUAAUUUCAUUAUGUAGAAAGAUAGUUUAAAUACUUUAAAAAUUUUUGAAUUAAUGUAUAAGAGUUAAGAGCAUUAAUGUCUAUUAAAUGUAUAGGGUGUGGAAUUAGUACGGAGGGGUGUAGAUUUAACCCGUCCCACCUACUUUUCCUAAUCCCUCCUGGCCGUUUUUUAAAUCUCAUCCCUUCCUUGUUAGAAAAAAUUAAAAAAAAAAAACUAAGAAUGGAAACAUUGACCAAAAUCAACAAAAAUAAAGCAUACACCUACUUCAAGCACUUUUGUUUUGUGUUUUUCAAUGAUUUUGGUCCAGUCAUUGGUUCUGUUAAUCUAAUGCCUAGAUUCAACUGUAUAAACUCCUUUUUUUGUUUUUUGAGCCAGCCGUAUAAACUUUAGUUGUUUUUUUUCCCCAAGGCGGCAAUAAUAUAAACUUUAGUUAAAGACGGGUACAUUUGUUAAAGUUAAGAAAAAUAAGGUGAACUUGAUGGAGAAGCUAUUUUUCAUUCCCUUUUUUUUUUUUUUUUUUUGUAAGCAAGUUUUGAAAUUUGACUCAGUUAGAAUGGUUGAACUCAGGACUUAGACACUUGAUCUGUUUACAUUUUUUGUUCGAGUUGAUUAAACAUUAGAAUGUCUUGGAAAUUUGAUUAAUUUCUCAAUGACUUUCAAAAUUUGUUAAAGGUUGGCUCGGUUGUAUCCUUAUAUUAUAUAAGAUUGAGUUUUGGUGAAAGCGGGGAUUGCAUUUUAACCACACAGGCAGGGACUUUUUGGAAAUGUAAAAUAUUCUAUAGUGUUUUACAAGCUAUAGGUCAUUACUGAAAUAACCUUCACACAUCAUAAGUACGCCGUUUGACUAAUGAUCACUGAACUUGAAAAUCACUUGUAUAGGAAACCCACAAGUAAAAGGGAAUAAGAAAGGCCAACCUUGCUCAACCGUCACCGUGGUUAGAGCUCAGGUGUGGAAGCACCUCCUUUUAGACGUCCUUCUCUAUCAUUUAUACCUGAAUUUAAUGGCAAAAAACGUGAACCUACUAAUGGCUCCUGAGCUUCGGGGAUUGGGUUUCUCUUGCAACUUUUGUCUGAAACAGAAUGUCGCAUCGUUUCCCCUCUCAUCCGAGCUUAUGGCCGAAACAAUUCAUUUCUUUCUCAUUAUAGCCUCAAUUAAAUAACCAGACGUUGAUAAGUUAAUGCCCAACGGUUGCGUCGGUUAUAAUUGUUUCCAUGCAUCCUCUUCACCUUCUUCAGUUUCAAGCUUUUCAUAUUCUGGAAUUGGGAUAUUUUUUUUAUGCCCUUAUACUGCAUAAAUCCUAGGCAUGGAAACAAUCACCGCCCAUUGAAGCAGGAAGUUGCGGAGGGCCCGACCGACAAUCUUUACAAGGGUUAUUAACUUAAUUUGGGAUUUGAUGAGGCUUUCACUUGGCCUCUGCUUCAUUUUGGUCCCAUGGUUUCUUCAUUCUGCUACACCUUGUCUUUAAUCACCUUCUAUUGGUAAGUUAAUGACUCACUCACUUGAAGAUCGACUGAAUGUGGACAUUAGCAGCGCAUAGUCCUUCACCAGAGAACUCCUUCAGCUUACUUGCUUCCUUAAGCCAAAAGCACCAAGAGUAGCUACUCCGACAAGAAAAGGCACCAACAUCCCUGCGUUGCCUCCACUUUCAACUUCAGCAGUCAUAGUAGUUGAAGCAGGAAGUUGCGGAGGGCCCUCGAUCAUGUAUGUUCUACACUCAUCAUGUAGAUGCUGAAGUUGGGACCAAAAUGAAAAAACCACCAAGAAGCAAUGCAUCUGACUGCUGUUUAUUACAGCAUCUACAUGAGUUUACUACUAUUCGUAUCACUAAAUAAGUAGACAUACAUGAUGUCUUAUUUAACCUACUCUGCUAUCUAUCUCGUAGUUUUUACCUAAAACAAUUUCAUAAAUAUUUGUCCGUAUACCUUUGGAAACUUGUUGUAUCUAAUUAUUUGUGUUCGAGAACUUCCUAAUUCUAAUAUUGGAAGACUCUUAUGUUGUUUGUCUUAUAAUCAUACCUGCUUCUAAUUAUUUAUCGCAACGUACUAUUCUCGCAAUGUAUUAUUAUUUGUCAAACCAAAAAACCUUCUUCAACCACAGGCACCAAACACCAGCGCGAUGCGCGAGCACUCCUCCCCUAGUAUUUGAAUUAAAAUCAGUUGAGGUUUCAUCUAGUCAAACUUUUGAUGUUGAGUAACCUGAUUUUUUCUAUUUAAUUUGCAAGUUUUUCUUUUUCGAGCGUCUCCUCCUUCUCUUUAAAACUCUUUUCUUCUCUCUCUAUGUAGAAGUAUCUCAGUCAAAAUUUCCUUCAUCUCUCUCAUGGGAGAGAGGCUAAAUCUAGUCUUUUCCCCAUGAGAAGGAAAACUCUCUCUAAUUUUUAAUUUCUCUUAUUUGAAUCAAUUCUUUCUUAGGGUUUCCUAGUGAGAGAUUCUUCUCUCUUACAAUCUCCUAAUAAGAGUUUUUUCUUCCAUAAAUUGUUCUAGUGAAAAUUUUAUUUUCUCUUGGGUUUUUCCUUGUGAGGGUUAUUUUAGUUUUUAUCUUUUUUUGUGAAAGUUGAGAUUUUGUAAAUUUAAAAUCAAAUUUCUCAGAUCUGCAAUCUUUUUUAUUAUUGUCAAAUCUAAAUUUCUCCUUAACUUGAACUAGUUUUAAUCAAAUUUGACUGUCAUAAAACAUGCACUGAUGUAUUGGGUACGAUGAUUUAUCCGAAUGAAAAAUAUGUAGAAGCAUUAAUGUCAUCUUUAUUUGUAUUGAUUUUUUAGCUACAUUGUAUCUAUUGAUUUCAAAUAUAUAUGUAUAUGUGCCAUGUUUGUUUGAAGUAUUUUAUGCCAUUAUUGGAGAUUUAUUAAAUGAAAUGAUCUUUUCUAUCAAAAAAAUAAAUCUAAUCUUUUGUAAGGAUUAAUUACACUACAACCUCCUAAACUCCUCCUGUUGCACUUUUCCCCUUAAACCUAAAAUCUUCUAAUUGAUUUGCAAGUAUUAUUUUUUUUAUCAAGCUAAUAUUUUUGUUAGGGCUAAUUACACCUUAACCCCUGAAACUCCUCUCUAGUUGCACUUCUUUCCCCUUAAACCUAAAAUAUACACACUUUGCCCUUUCAGAAAGUUUGUCAACUCAAAAGAAGUAUGAAAAUUCUCAAUUUUAUUGUGACAUGACAAACGUGACCUUAAAAAAAUUACUUUCAGACAUCUUAUCUUUUGGUGCAUAGUGAAGGUCUUGUUCGACAAACGGAUUGACCAAUGUUAAGAAAUUGGAAAGAAUGGGAAAAAUGUUUAAGGCGAUCAACCUUUUUAUUUUAUUUUUUCACUUAGGGAUAUCUCGACCUUCGGCCAGACUAAUCCUCUAAAACUGUUUAGAAUAUUGUCUCGAUAACACACAGCAAGAUAGCACACAGGGAUCGAUCACAAGACCUGCUAGUAACUAUCACGCUACGGAAUCAGGCUGUGUAAUCAACCUUUUUAAGUUGUGCAAUUUCUUGAAGAAAAGUUGAGAUACCAAUAACUUUACUACAUAUUGUAUGCUAAAAGUGAAUUCAAACAAAAAGGUGGAUUAAAUGAGGCUUGGCCUGUCUAAUUAACAAAAUUGCCUUGCCUUAUUAUUAGAAAUGAAGUCAACAAGAAGCUAGAUAAACGAAACCUCAUUCAUAAGCUUAUUAGAUUGCAUUUUUGCAUAUUGGAAUUCAAUUUGCAAUGACUAAACUUGGGAUGGAUGUCUAUGUGAUUCUUCGACUAGAUUAUUGUAGGAACUAAAUUACAUUCUUGUACCUUAUAUGUAUUUUGAUCACUUUUUUCAAAAAAUAAAGAUCCAAAAUCGCCUUUUUGGAUGGUCCACGAAUUUUGAGAAUUCUUACCUACCUAGAGAAAGAUUUUGAAAAUUCUGCAUUAAAGUCAAGACCUAUUCAAACAGAUUUGCUUUUUUUUUUUUAAUCCCCUUUUAUCUUUAUAAUUUCCAUGCUUGAAAUAAUGAACAUGUCCAAGAAACACACAAUCAGCUGCCAUGCAGCAGCCUAAGAGAUUCAACAGAACAUCAGUGAUGGAAUUUUUUUGAUCUUGAUAAUCAAGCCUAAAAUUGGAAGCCACAAUAGUUAAUUUAUCCCUGACAAUCUGACUGAAAUCAUGCAUGCCAUGUACACACUCAAGGAAACUAGUUUGAUCCCUACCAUUGAAGUUAACAACGGCUAUACAACACAUCUAUAUUUAUAUAUAAAUGAAGAAAAAGAACUCAAGCUCCUUAUAUAAAAGUUGUUACACAAUUCUAAAUCCAGUUAUGCAUCUUCCUCAUCAGUCACGAAUUUCCCUGUUCCUGGAUUUAUUGCUGCAACGAAGAAAAAGACAACAUUGAAUAUAAUUAGGGGUUCAAUUUCA
rnacentral:lncRNA from 1 species